rnacentral:lncRNA from 1 species
AGGCACCACCAGAGGGAGGAGCUCCACCACCAGGGAAGCCUUCAGGCAUGCCUCCUGCACUCUGGUACAGCUUUGUAAUGAUGGGAUGGCAGACCUUCUCCAGCUCUUUCUGCUGAUGUUCAAAUUCUUCUUUUUCUGCGGUCUGGUUCUUAUCCAGAAUCUUCUGUUUGUCCUCGUUGUUGAUUUUACCCUGAAGCUUUUCAUCUUCAGCAGUUGCUUUCAUGUUGAAUGCGUAAGAUUCAAGGGAAUUCUUGGAGGACACCUUGUCUUGCCACUUCUCAUCCUCAGCUUUGUACUUCUCAGCUUCCUGGACCCUGUGCUCAAUGUCUUCCUUGCUCAGGCGACCUUUGUCGUUGGUGAUGGUGAUCUUGAUCUCUUUUCCGGUACUCUUAUCCACAGCAGAGACAUUGAGAAUGCCAUUAGUAUCAAUAUCAAAGGUGACCUCAAUCUGAGGAACGCCAUGGGGGGCAGGACAUAUGCCUGUGAGUUCAAACUUGCCAAGUAGGUUGUUAUUCUUGGUCAUGGCAUGCUCACCUUCAUAAACCCGAGUGAGCACACCAGGCUGGUUGUCAGAGUAGGAAGUGAAGGUUUGGGUCUGUUUGGUAGGAAUGGUAGUAUUGCGCUUGAUGAGAACAGUCAUGACUCCACCGGCAGUUUCAACGCCAAGAGAAAGACGAGUGACAUCCAACAGCAGCCAACCUUGAACAUUUUCAUAUUUGUCUCCAGAAAGGAUGGCUGCCUGGACAGCUGCACCAUAAGCGACAGCCUCAUCAGGGUUGAUGCUCUUAUUCAGUUCCUUCCCGCUGGAAAUGUCUUGUAGAAGUUUCUGAACCUUGGGGAUACAUGUAGAACCACCCACCAAGACAAUAGCGUGGAUCUGAGACUUGUCUAGCUUGGCAUCCCGAAGGGCUUUCUCUACAGGGUCCAGGGUGCCACGGAACAGUUCAGCAUUUAAUUCUUCAAACCGGGCAUGAGUAAUAGAGGUAUAGAAGUCGAUUCCUUCAUAUAGAGAAUCAAUCUCAAUACUGGCCUGGGUGCUGGAAGAAGGUGUGCGCUUGUUGCGCUCCCAAGCAGUGUGGAGGUGACAGACUGCCCUGUGGUUCUCGCUGAUGUCCUUCUUAGGUUUGCGCUUGAACUCUGCAAUAAAAUGGUUUACCAUUCGGUGUCAAAGUUUUCUCCACCUUAGUAGGUGUCUCUAGCAGUAGAUUUGACCUCAAAGAUCCCAUCUUCGGUAGUGAGGAUUGACACAUCAGAAGUGCCACCUCCCAAGUCAAAGAUCAGCACGUUCCUUUCGGCUCCAACCUUUUUGUCUAAGCCAUAAGCAAAGUAGCAACAGUGGGCUCAGUGAUGAUUCAAAGUACAUUAAGACCAGCAGUAGUUCCAGCAUCUUUGGUAGCCUGACACUGAGAAUCGUUAAAAUAGGCAGGUACUGUGACUACAGCAUUGGUAACAGUCCUCCCAAGGUAAGCCUCUGCGAUUUCCUUCAUCUUUAUCAAGACCGUAGAAGAUACCUCCUCUGGAUGGAAGCUUUUGGUCUCUCCCUUGUAUUCUACUUGGCCCUUGGGUCUGCCAGCAUCAUUCACCGCCAUGAAGGGCCAAUGCUUCAUAUCAGAUCGGACAACAGCAUCAUCAAAUCUACGUCCAGUCAGGCGUUUGGCAUCAAAAACUGUGUCGGUGGGGUUCAUUGCAACUUGAUUCUUUGCAGCAUCACCAAUCAAUCGUUCUGUGUCAGUAAAGGUGACAUAACUUGGGGUGGUUUGGUUUCCCUGAUCGUUGGCA